GUCCUGUCCAAAAUCACACAAGUAGACAGGGGUAGCGAUAGGAUGUGGAUGUUUGUGUGACUCAGAGCCGGCUCGUGUUCCCCCAACUCACACAAGCACGGUUUACUUCAGGCUUGUGCACUGAGAAUGCCUGGCUUCUUACCUCAGCAUUUGAUAACACAUCGCUGUCACUUUCAGCUAGGUGUCAGAAGAGAAAGAUGCAAAGCUAAGUUUCCAUGGGGCACGUUGUGAUAUAAGGUCAUUUUUUCCCCUGGUUACUCUUUCCCUCCAGUGGGACCCCGCCGGUUCUGGAUGCUCAUCUUUGAGGGACGGCGCUCACCUGGUGGUCAAGAUGCAGGUGCAAGGCCCCAGGAGCCCCCUUGUGCAUCACCCUCUCUCAGCUCAGCUGUCUCCAGAGCAUCUCCAGAUCUACCGUCCAUUCAACACAAAAGCACAACGUGGUAACAGCAGCGUGGCAGGACUGCAGAGGCCGUUCGGACCGCUGAGAUCAAGAAGCACUUGAGAAAGAGCAGCGCUGCUGAGCCCGGAGCCCCGGGAGACUCCUU
rnacentral:lncRNA from 1 species